rnacentral:rRNA from 1 species
CAGAGGGGGCAAGCGUUGCUCGGAAUCACUGGGCGUAAAGGGCGCGUAGGCGGGAUGGCAAGUCGGUCGUGAAAUCCCUGGGCUCAACUCAGGGGGGUCGGCCGAUACUGCCAUUCUUGAGGGAUGCAGAGGAGACUGGAAUUCCCGGUGUAGCGGUGAAAUGUGUAGAGAUCGGGAGGAACACCGGUGGCGAAGGCGGGUCUCUGGGCAUUCCCUGACGCUGAGGCGCGAAAGCGUGGGGAGCAAACGGGAUUAGAUACCCCGGUAGUCCACGCGGUAAACGAUGACGACUAGGUGUGGGGGGGUUAAGUCCCUACCGUGCCGCAGCUAACGCAUUAAGUCGUCCGCCUGGGGAGUACGGCCGCAAGGUUG